rnacentral:tRNA from 1 species
CCGGAGUAGCUCAGUUGGGAGAGCGUUAGACUGAAGAUCUAAAUGUCCCCGGUUCGAUUCCGGGUUCCGGCA